AGAACGAACGCUGGCGGCAUGCCUAAUACAUGCAAGUCGAACGAACUCUUCGGAGUUAGUGGCGCACGGGUGCGUAACGCGUGGGAAUCUGCCCUUGGGUUCGGAAUAACAGUUGGAAACGACUGCUAAUACCGGAUGAUGACGAAAGUCCAAAGAUUUAUCGCCCAGGGAUGAGCCCGCGUAGGAUUAGCUAGUUGGUGAGGUAAAGGCUCACCAAGGCGACGAUCCUUAGCUGGUCUGAGAGGAUGAUCAGCCACACUGGGACUGAGACACGGCCCAGACUCCUACGGGAGGCAGCAGUAGGGAAUAUUGGACAAUGGGCGAAAGCCUGAUCCAGCAAUGCCGCGUGAGUGAUGAAGGCCUUAGGUUGUAAAGCUCUUUUACCCGAGAUGAUAAUGACAGUAUCGGGAGAAUAAGCCCCGGCUAAACUCCGUGCCAGCAGCCGC
rnacentral:rRNA from 1 species